rnacentral:rRNA from 1 species
GAUGAACGCUGGCGGCGUGCCUAAUACAUGCAAGUCGAGCGAACGGACGAGAAGCUUGCUUCUCUGAUGUUAGCGGCGGACGGGUGAGUAACACGUGGAUAACCUACCUAUAAGACUGGGAUAACUUCGGGAAACCGGAGCUAAUACCGGAUAAUAUUUUGAACCGCAUGGUUCAAAAGUGAAAGACGGUCUUGCUGUCACUUAUAGAUGGAUCCGCGCUGCAUUAGCUAGUUGGUAAGGUAACGGCUUACCAAGGCAACGAUGCAUAGCCGACCUGAGAGGGUGAUCGGCCACACUGGAACGUAGACACGCUCCAGACUCCUACGGGAGGCAGCAGUAGGGAAUCUUCCGCAAUGGGCGAAAGCCUGACGGAGCAACGUCGCGUGAGUGAUGACGGUCUUCGGAUCGUAAAACUCUGUUAUUAGGGAAGAACAUAUGUGUAAGUAACUGUGCACAUCUUGACGGUACCUAAUCAGAAAGCCACGGCUAACUACGUG